rfam:Pongo abelii chromosome 10.
GCCGGGCACGGUGGCUCAUGCCUGUAAUCCCAGUACUUUAGGAGGCCGAGGUGGGUGGAUCACCUGAGGUCAGGAGUUCCUGACCAACCUGACCAACAAGGUGAAACCCCGUCUCUA